AUGAACGCUGGCGGCGUGCCUCAUUCAUGCAAGUCGAGCGAACAGAUGAGGAGCUUGCUCCUCUGACGUUAGCGGCGGACGGGUGAGUAACACGUGGAUAACCUACCUAUAAGACUGGGAUAACUUCGGGAAACCGGAGCUAAUACCGGAUAAUAUAUUGAACCGCAUGGUUCAAUAGUGAAAGACGGUUUUGCUGCCACUUAUAGAUGGAUCCGCGCCGCAUUAGCUAGUUGGUAAGGUAACGGCUUACCAAGGCAACGAUGCGUAGCCGACCUGAGAGGGUGAUCGGCCACACUGGAACUGAGACACGGUCCAGACUCCUACGGGAGGCAGCAGUAGGGAAUCUUCCGCAAUGGGCGAAAGCUUGACGGAGCAACGCCGCGUGAGUGAUGAAGGUCUUCGGAUCGUAAAACUCUGUUAUUAGGGAAGAACAAAUGUGUAAGUAACUAUGCACGUCUUGACGGUACCUAAUCAGAAAGCCACGGCUAACUACGG
rnacentral:rRNA from 1 species